AAUCUGUAGGACUUGAAAGGGAACAAAUUUUUUUCACUCUUUUUAAAGUCCCGCUCUUAGAACAGGAUCAGCCGAUUCGACACAGCACUGGCAGCGGGAAACUGUUCCCGCCAAGACAGGAAAGUGUUUGUUUAUUGCUGCUGGAGGAAGAUGCUGGACUCACUCAGGAAACUGAAGUUGUUGAAUAUCCACGAGUCAAGGAAAAGCGCAGAUAACGUUUUUUGAGAAUCACACACCUCUGAU